ACAGCCAUAUUACAUUGAAACACCAGUUCUCAUCUGAUCAUUGAAGUUAAGCAAUGUUGAGCCUGGUCAAUACCUAGAUGGGUGACCACUUGUGAAUACCAGGUGCUGUAAG